rnacentral:rRNA from 1 species
UACGAAGGGUGCUAGCGUUGUUCGGAAUUACUGGACGUAAAGCGCGCGUAGGCGGCUAUUCAAGUCAGAGGUGAAAUCCCUGGGCUCAACCCAGGAAUUGCCUUUGAAACUGUAUAGCUUGAGUGUCGGAGGGGAUAGCGGAAUUCCUAAUGUAGAGGUGAAAUUCGUAGAUAUUAGGAGGAACACCGGUGGCGAAGGCGGCUAUCUGGACGACAACUGACGCUGAGGCGCGAAAGUACGGGGAUCAAACAGG